UACGUAGGGUGCGAGCGUUGUCCGGAAUUAUUGGGCGUAAAGAGCUUGUAGGCGGUUUGUCGCGUCUGCCGUGAAAAUUCGAGGCUCAACCUCGAACUUGCGGUGGGUACGGGCAGACUAGAGGUAUGCAGGGGAGAACGGAAUUCCUGGUGUAGCGGUGAAAUGCGCAGAUAUCAGGAGGAACACCGGUGGCGAAGGCGGUUCUCUGGGCAUUAACUGACGCUGAGGAGCGAAAGCAUGGGGAGCGAACAGG
rnacentral:rRNA from 1 species